rnacentral:rRNA from 1 species
CACACCGCCCGUCACGUCAUGAAAGUUGGAGACGCCUGAAGUCGGUCAGCCAACCCUUUCGGGGAGGCAGCCGCCGAGGGUGGUGCCAGCGAUUGGGACG